GUUGUUCAUCACAGGUACAGGCUAUGGUAGCUAGCUGGUUGUUCAUCACAGGUACAGGCUAUGGUAGCUAGCUGGUUGUUCAUCACAGGUACAGGCUAUGGUAGCUAGCUGGUUGUUCAUCACAGGUACAGGCUAUGGUAGCUAGCUGGUUGUUCAUCACAGGUACAGGCUAUGGUAGCUAGCUGGUUGUUCAUCACAGGUACAGGCUAUGGUAGCUAGCUGGUUGUUCAUCACAGGUACAGGCUAUGGUAGCUAGCUGGUUGUUCAUCACAGGUACAGGCUAUGGUAGCUAGCUGGUUGUUCAUCACAGGUACAGGCUAUGGUAGCUAGCUGGUUGUUCAUCACAGGUACAGGCUAUGGUAGCUAGCUGGUUGUUCAUCACAGGUACAGGCUAUGGUAGCUAGCUGGUUGUUCAUCACAGGUACAGGCUAUGGUAGCUAGCUGGUUGUUCAUCACAGGUACAGGCUAUGGUAGCUAGCUGGUUGUUCAUCACAGGUACAGGCUAUGGUAGCUAGCUGGUUGUUCAUCACAGGUACAGGCUAUGGUAGCUAGCUGUUUCAUCUCAUGUCU